CCUACGGGAGGCAGCAGUAGGGAAUCUUCCUCAAUGGGCGAAAGCCUGAAGCAGCAACGCCGCGUGGGUGAAGAAGGUCUUCGGAUCGUAAAACCCUGUUGUUAGAGAAGAAAGUGCGUGAGAGUAACUGUUCACGUUUCGACGGUAUCUAACCAGAAAGCCACGGCUAACUACGUGCCCGCAGCCGCGGUAAUACGGAGGUGGCAAGCGUUAGCCGGUUUUGUUGGGCGUAAAGGGAAUGCAGGCGGGCUUGUAAGUCUGAUGUGAAAGCCUUCGGCUUAACCGGAGUAGUGCAUUGGAAACUGGGAGUCUUGAGUGCAGAAGAGGUGAGUGGAAGUCGAGGUGUAGCGGUGAAAUGCGUAGAUAUCUGGAAGAACACCAGUGGCGAAGGCGGCUUUCUGGUCUGUAACUGACGCUGAGGUUCGAAAGCGUGGGUAGCAAACAGGAUUAGAUACCCGGGUAGUC
rnacentral:rRNA from 1 species